UAUAUAUUAGUGUACAGCCACAUUUAAUUUUGAAUUAAAAAGUUAUAGUUGAAUCUAUUAUAUAUAA
rnacentral:tRNA from 1 species